rnacentral:rRNA from 1 species
GAUGAACGCUGGCGGCGUGCCUAAUACAUGCAAGUCGAGCGAACAGACGAGGAGCUUGCUCCUCUGACGUUAGCGGCGGACGGGUGAGUAACACGUGGAUAACCUACCUAUAAGACUGGGAUAACUUCGGGAAACCGGAGCUAAUACCGGAUAAUAUAUUGAACCGCAUGGUUCAAUAGUGAAAGACGGUUUUGCUGUCACUUAUAGAUGGAUCCGCGCCGCAUUAGCUAGUUGGUAAGGUAACGGCUUACCAAGGCAACGAUGCGUAGCCGCCCUGAGAGGGUGAUCGGCCACACUGGAACUGAGACACGGUCCAGACUCCUACGGGAGGCAGCAGUAGGGAAUCUUCCGCAAUGGGCGAAAGCCUGACGGAGCAACGCCGCGUGAGUGAUGAAGGUCUUCGGAUCGUAAAACUCUGUUAUUAGGGAAGAACAAAUGUGUAAGUAACUAUGCACGUCUUGACGGUACCUAAUCAGAAAGCCACGGCUAACUACGUG